rnacentral:lncRNA from 13 species
CUUUAUGAGAGAAAAAGAGGACACACAUACUCACACAAGAAAGAACAGAAGACAGGGAAAUACUGGAGAGAAGAGUGAAGUUCCGUUGGCAAAGGCCUCACUCUAAAGCCUGAAAACCAGUGGUUCUGAACGAGGACAGGCGUUUCUGUUUUCACUCCCCAAAAGUUGCCUUAUGGCUUGCCAUGCCACCCAUCCUGUCCCCACAUAAAGCCCUAACCCCAUGCUCCUGAAGAGACCCACAAGCAGGGAGACAAGGAGGCAAGCAGACCAGCAGGCCAGAAGGCC